rnacentral:rRNA from 1 species
GGGACACGUGGUAUCCUGUCUGAAUAUGGGGGGACCAUCCUCCAAGGCUAAAUACUCCUGACUGACCGAUAGUGAACCAGUACCGUGAGGGAAAGGCGAAAAGAACCCCGGCGAGGGGAGUGAAAAAGAACCUGAAACCGUGUACGUACAAGCAGUGGGAGCACAGGUUUACCUGUGUGACUGCGUACCUUUUGUAUAAUGGGUCAGCGACUUAUAUUCUGUAGCAAGGUUAACCGUAUAGGGGAGCCGGAGGGAAACCGAGUCUUAAUUGGGCGUUAAGUUGCAGGGUAUAGACCCGAAACCCGGUGAUCUAGCCAUGGGCAGGUUGAAGGUUGGGUAACACUAACUGGAGGACCGAACCGACUAAUGUUGAAAAAUUAGCGGAUGACCUGUGGCUGGGGGUGAAAGGCCAAUCAAACCGGGAGAUAGCUGGUUCUCCCCGAAAGCUAUUUAGGUAGCGCCUCGUGAAUUCAUCUCCGGGGGUAGAGCACUGUUUCGGCUAGGGGGCCAUCCCGGCUUACCAACCCGAUGCAAACUGCGAAUACCGGAGAAUGUUAUCACGGGAGACACACGGCGGGUGCUAACGUCCGUCGUGAAGAGGGAAACAACCCAGACCGCCAGCUAAGGUCCCAAAGUCAUGGUUAAGUGGGAAACGAUGUGGGAAGGCCCAGACAGCCAGGAUGUUGGCUUAGAAGCAGCCAUCAUUUAAAGAAAGCGUAAUAGCUCACUGGUCGAGUCGGCCUGCGCGGAAGAUGUAACGGGGCUAAACCAUGCACCGAAGCUGCGGCAGCGACGCUUAUGCGUUGUUGGGUAGGGGAGCG